rnacentral:rRNA from 1 species
UACGUAGGGUGCGAGCGUUGUCCGGAAUUAUUGGGCGUAAAGGGCUCGUAGGCGGUUUGUCGCGUCGGGAGUGAAAACUCAGGGCUUAACCCUGAGCCUGCUUCCGAUACGGGCAGACUAGAGGUAUGCAGGGGAGAACGGAAUUCCUGGUGUAGCGGUGAAAUGCGCAGAUAUCAGGAGGAACACCGGUGGCGAAGGCGGUUCUCUGGGCAUUACCUGACGCUGAGGAGCGAA